rnacentral:misc_RNA from 1 species
ACAAACUUGGUCAUUUAGAGGAAGUAAAAGUCGUAACAAGGUUUCCGUAGGUGAACCUGCGGAAGGAUCAUUAAUGUGUGUGGUUUGCAACUGUGCAAUCCUCCAUAUCCUGUGUUGUGUGUAAUCGUGUAUAUUGUGUCCUUUAUUGGUCACAUUAUUCAUUCAUUCAUUCAUUCUCAUUAUUCUGAUUAAUGUUCGCUUGAUGCGAAUCAAACAUCGAAAACUGCCACCAAUGGAUCACUAGGUUCUCGCAUCGAUGAAGAACGCAGC